AAUGGGGUGACUGCGUACCUUUUGUAUAAUGGGUCAGCGACUUAUAUUCUGUAGCAAGGUUAACCGAAUAGGGGAGCCGAAGGGAAACCGAGUCUUAACUGGGCGUUAAGUUGCAGGGUAUAGACCCGAAACCCGGUGAUCUAGCCAUGGGCAGGUUGAAGGUUGGGUAACACUAACUGGAGGACCGAACCGACUAAUGUUGAAAAAUUAGCGGAUGACUUGUGGCUGGGGGUGAAAGGCCAAUCAAACCGGGAGAUAGCUGGUUCUCCCCGAAAGCUAUUUAGGUAGCGCCUCGUGAAUUCAUCUCCGGGGGUAGAGCACUGUUUCGGCAAGGGGGUCAUCCCGACUUACCAACCCGAUGCAAACUGCGAAUACCGGAGAAUGUUAUCACGGGAGACACACGGCGGGUGCUAACGUCCGUCGUGAAGAGGGAAACAACCCAGACCGCCAGCUAAGGUCCCAAAGUCAUGGUUAAGUGGGAAACGAUGUGGGAAGGCCCAGACAGCCAGGAUGUUGGCUUAGAAGCAGCCAUCAUUUAAAGAAAGCGUAAUAGCUCACUGGUCGAGUCGGCCUGCGCGGAAGAUGUAACGGGGCUAAACCAUGCACCGAAGCUGCGGCAGCGACACUAUGUGUUGUUGGGUAGGGGAGCGUUCUGUAAGCCUGUGAAGGUGGCCUGUGAGGGUUGCUGGAGGUAUCAGAAGUGCGAAUGCUGACAUAAGUAACGAUAAAGCGGGUGAAAAGCCCGCUCGCCGGAAGACCAAGGGUUCCUGUCCAACGUUAAUCGGGGCAGGGUGAGUCGACCCCUAAGGCGAGGCCGAAAGGCGUAGUCGAUGGGAAACAGGUUAAUAUUCCUGUACUUGGUGUUACUGCGAAGGGGGGACGGAGAAGGCUAUGUUGGCCGGGCGACGGUUGUCCCGGUUUAAGCGUGUAGGCUGGUUUUCCAGGCAAAUCCGGAAAACCAAGGCUGAGGCGUGAUGACGAGGCACUACGGUGCUGAAGCGACAAAUGCCCUGCUUCCAGGAAAAGCCUCUAAGCAUCAGGUAACAUCAAAUCG
rnacentral:rRNA from 1 species